GUGGGGAAUAUUGGGCAAUGGGCGAAAGCCUGACCCAGCAACGCCGCGUGAGGGAAGAAGGCCUUCGGGUUGUAAACCUCUGUCCUUGGUGACGAAAAAAAUGACGGUAGCCAAGGAGGAAGCCCCGGCUAACUACGUGCCAGCAGCCGCGGUAAUACGUAGGGGGCGAGCGUUGUCCGGAAUUACUGGGCGUAAAGGGUGCGUAGGUGGCCUUUUAAGUUGGAUGUGAAAUACCCGGGCUUAACUUGGGUUGUGCAUCGAAUACUGGAAGGCUAGAUUGCCGGCGAGUGAAGCUGAAUUCCUAGUGUAGCGAUGAAAUGCGUAGAUAGUAGGAAGAACACCGGUGGCGUAGGCGGCGUUCUGGACUGUAUCUGACACUGAGGCACGAAAGCGUGGGGAGCAAACAGGAUUAGAUACCCUAGUAGUCC
rnacentral:rRNA from 1 species